rnacentral:rRNA from 1 species
CCUACUGGAGGCAGCAGUGAGGAAUAUUGGUCAAUGGGCGCGAGCCUGAACCAGCCAAGUCGCGUGAGGGAUGACGGUCCUACGGAUUGUAAACCUCUUUUGCCGUGGAGCAAGCGUGCGUUCGUGAACGCGCGUCGAGAGUACCCGGAGAAAAAGCAUCGGCUAACUCCGUGCCAGCAGCCGCGGUAAUACGGGGGAUGCGAGCGUUAUCCGGAUUUACUGGGUGUAAAGGGAGCGUAGGUGGCAUGGUAAGCCAGAAGUGAAAACCCGGGGCUCAACCCCGCGGAUUGCUUUUGGAACUAGCAGGCUGGAGUGCUGGAGGGGUAAGCGGAAUUCCUAGUGUAGCGGUGAAAUGCGUAGAUAUUAGGAGGAACACCGGUGGCGAAGGCGGCUUACUGGACAGAAACUGACACUGAGGCUCGAAAGCGUGGGGAGCAAACAGGAUUAGAUACCCGAGUAGUC